rnacentral:lncRNA from 1 species
GGUUACCUGCAGUAACCGGCCUCUGCCACCAUGGGGCAGGAAGAGCAGUAGCUGCGGCAUCUCAUGUUGCUCAUGGACAGAAGUGGCCGGCUGGCUUCUGAGUGGCUCCAGCCUCUCCGGCAGAGAAGUAGGUAUGGGGAGGGGAUCCUGUCCGCCCCCUGUCUGCCCUGCUGUCCCUCAAUUGCUCCCCACCGCCUCGCUCCUGGCACUGACCCCCCUCCCUCUGCCCUGCCAUGUCCUGAUUGAGCAGGCAGGCAAGCUCCGCGUCAGCUCCUCCCAGCCUAUCUCUGCAGGUGGCAGGUGAGUCCUGGGGACCGGGGGAGGGGGGAGAAGAGAUGAUGGGGGAGGGAGUAACAAUGCAGGGAGGGGGGAGAGGAGUGAGCAGGGCCUGGAGGAAGAGGCGGGGCUGGGACUGGGGGGAAAGGGGCAGGGCAGGGUGUCCAGUUUUCAGCAGCUAGAAAGUUGGCAAGCCCUAGUCCUGCCCCCGCGAGAAGGUGUCAGGCUCUAGGGCCGUCGAGUCAGCCAUGCAACGUCCUUUUAGCGUGAGCAGACAAAGCACCCCCUUGCUGAUUGCUCUCAUCUCUCACACUCCAGGUGACAUGGCUUUGGCAUAGCAUCUGCCCUAGUAACCGGAGAAGCAAAGAAGGCUGGGAAGCGUUGAGUCGACGUUCUCCUUUUAGAUGCCGGGAGGCUUGUCCGACCUUUGCCCUGGCGAGAUAGCUGCUGUGCUCGUCCCGUCGCGGGGGGGCAGGGAGGGCUCUCGAGCAUGUCAUUUCAGCUGGACCCCCAGCGCUUCUCGCACUUUGCGUUUCACCUGGCUCGUGCCUGAGCAGAAACAACUGCAGAUGGGAGCUCUGGCAGGACCAAAUAGAGCAGAAAGAAAUGUGAGAUGCCGGCCGGGCGUGCAGCUCUCAUUGGCAUUCAGUCUAAGAUUGCCGAAGAACAGACGACCUUCCGUUUGGCAGGGGCUAUUGGAGGAAAAUUCUGGCUGGACAACACAUAAUGGACAAUCAUGGUUUUUCAAGACACAUAAAUAAACAUAGUAGUAUUAUUUAUCAUUUGUACUACCCGGGCACCUACAAGCCCCAGCCAUGGACCGGGUCCCCUUUGUGCUAGGCGCUGCCCAAACACAGGACAAAAAGACGGUCUCUGGCCCAAAGUGCUUAAAAUCUAAGUAGAAGCAAGACAACAGGUGGAGACAGACAGAUGGACAGGGACCGUAAGCUACCAAUGACGUCAAACAUAAAUCAAUAUAGGUCCCAUAGGGGCUUACCUGAUGGAACCCCUGAAUGUUGCAUUAACCCAGAAAGAAUGAUAAAGCGCAAGAGAGUAUUGCUGGAACUACUGUUCUUCUGAAAUACUGGGGACACUCCCAGUGCAUUGUAGAUUUUGAACUGGGGAAGUUGCAUCAUUUCUAGGGAUGCUUGAAAAAUGGUGACAUUUUGAAAAAAGUCAGGCUGGCCUAGUCCCUACGUUGGUGGUGGUGAGGUUUUUUUUUAAUCAGAACAAAAGCUGACAUUAUCAAAGCUUCCCUGGGAAACUGGGCACACAGUUCCUAUUGAUUUUAAUGGGAACUCAUCGGUCGAGUCCCUAAGGCAGUUUCGGAAAUCUCAGCCACUAUGGUCAAACCCUUCUUUCUA